rnacentral:rRNA from 1 species
CCUACGGGCGGCAGCAGUGGGGAAUAUUGGACAAUGGGGGGAACCCUGAUCCAGCCACGCCGCGUGUGUGAAGAAGGCCCUCGGGUUGUAAAGCACUUUCAGUGAGGAAGAACGCCUGGUGGUUAAUACCCAUCAGGAAAGACAUCACUCACAGAAGAAGCACCGGCUAACUCCGUGCCAGCAGCCGCGGUAAUACGGAGGGUGCGAGCGUUAAUCGGAAUUACUGGGCGUAAAGCGCGCGUAGGUGGCUUGAUAAGCCGGUUGUGAAAGCCCCGGGCUCAACCUGGGAACGGCAUCCGGAGCUGUCAAGCUAGAGUGCAGGAGAGGAAGGUAGAAUUCCCGGUGUAGCGGUGAAAUGCGUAGAGAUCGGGAAGAAUACCAGUGGCGAAGGCGGCCUUCUGGACUGACACUGACACUGAGGUGCGAAAGCAUGGGUAGCAAACAGGAUUAGAUACCCUAGUAGUC